rnacentral:rRNA from 1 species
CCUACGGGUGGCUGCAGUGAGGAAUAUUGGUCAAUGGCCGGAAGGCUGAACCAGCAAAGCCGCGUGAAGGACGAAGGUGCCAAGCAUUGUAAACUUCUUUUGUCAAGGGACAAAAUCAGGCUCGAGAGCCUGACCGAGGGUACUUGAAGAAACAGCAUCGGCUAACUCCGUGCCAGCAGCCGCGGUAAUACGGGGGAUGCGAGCUUUACCCGGUUUUAUUGGGUUAAGAGGGUGCGUAGGCGGCCUGUUAAGUCAGCGGUAAAAGCCCGGGGCUCAACCCCGGCGAGCCGUUGAAACUGGCGGUCUUGAGAUGUCGAGAGGUGUGCGGAAUGCGCAGUGUAGCGGUGAAAUGCUUAGAUAUUGCGCAGAACUCCGAUUGCGAAGGCGGCAUACCGGCGGCGAUCUGACGCUGAGGCACGAAAGCGUGGGUAUCGAACAGGAUUAGAUACCCCAGUAGUC